rnacentral:rRNA from 1 species
UAGGGAAUCUUCCACAAUGGACGCAAGUCUGAUGGAGCAACGCCGCGUGAGUGAAGAAGGUCUUCGGAUCGUAAAACUCUGUUGUUAGAGAAGAACACGAGUGAGAGUAACUGUUCAUUCGAUGACGGUAUCUAACCAGCAAGUCACGGCUAACUACGUGCCCAG